GGACUUUUCUGACAACAAAAUCCAAAGUUUUAAGCAUUAAGCUGAAACAUCACAAAGCUAUCAUCAGCGUGGACAUGCAGGAGAUGUUGCUUUGUAGACAUUGAACUUUCAUAUUAUGGGGGAGCCGCAAAAUAUCGAGUUGGGGGCCGUAAAUGUCCGGUUUGAGACCUCUGCUUUAAUAAAUUAUUUUGAUUUCAGCUCACAGAGAGACAGUAGGAUGGCUAAGGAGAGAAUUCUCUGACCUCUGUUUGUAACCAGGAGUAACCUCAGUGAAGACAGGAAGCGUGGAGGAUCAGCUUACCCAUCAGCAGUUUGGGGAAGUUGGAGGUCUCGAUGUUGUGAUAGUAGACGAUGGAGGUGAUGCCCGCCAUGAAGGCCAGAGCUGCAGGCAUGUACAGGUGGAGGUGGAAGGACUGGCUGAACCUGGCAACGAACAUCACAUCAAGACGAAAAGUCGAAUAAUCGGAAAAAAUAGUCGGUGAUUCGUGGACUUCGUCAGCAGGCCUACCCAUCAGAGACGAUGCCCUCGGCGAUCUCGCAGACCAGGACGAAGAGCAGGACGAAGCUCCUCGGGAUGAGCUCCGCGCGCGCGGAGGGGAGUCAGAGGGAGGCGGGUCGUGAGGAGGAGCGGGUCAGAGGCGGCCAGAGUCCCCCCUCUCCGUCCAUCCCGUCCGCCUGCAAACUGAGGACGUCCUGCAGGGCGCCGCUCGCGCUCGGCUCGCGCGCGCGCAGCGCCGCUCCUCUGGAAUGCACGCGGGCAUGCUCACAUGGCGGGAGGAGGAGCGGCUCCCGCAGAUCCCGCUAUUCCUGUCUCCAGAGGCGACCUUGGCGGAGCAGAGGGGACGGACGUGCCGGAGGAGCCGGUGGCGCGAGCGCAGCAGCAGGUAUAAUCAGUCGGACCGGUUGCAGAGCUGAUGUGAGAGGAAGAAUGUGA
rnacentral:lncRNA from 1 species